rnacentral:rRNA from 1 species
CUGGGGGGAUUAGUGGCGAACGGGUGAGUAACACGUGAGUAACCUGCCCUGGACUCUGGGAUAACCCCGAGAAAUCGGAGCUAAUACCGGAUAGGACCUGGAACCGCAUGGUUUUGGGUGGAAAGUUUUUCGGUCUGGGAUGGACUCGCGGCCUAUCAGCUUGUUGGUGAGGUAAUGGCUCACCAAGGCGUCGACGGGUAGCCGGCCUGAGAGGGUGACCGGCCACACUGGGACUGAGACACGGCCCAGACUCCUACGGGAGGCAGCAGUGGGGAAUAUUGCACAAUGGGCGCAAGCCUGAUGCAGCAACGCCGCGUGAGGGAUGACGGCCUUCGGGUUGUAAACCUCUUUUAGUAAGGAAGAAGGGCCCUUCGGGGUUUGACGGUACUUGCAGAAAAAGCACCGGCUAACUACGUGCCAGCAGCCGCGGUAAUACGUAGGGUGCGAGCGUUGUCCGGAAUUAUUGGGCGUAAAGAGCUCGUAGGCGGUUUGUCACGUCUGCUGUGAAAUCCCGAGGCUCAACCUCGGGCCUGCAGUGGGUACGGGCAGACUGGAGUGCGGUAGGGGAGAAUGGAAUUCCUGGUGUAGCGGUGGAAUGCGCAGAUAUCAGGAGGAACACCGAUGGCGAAGGCAGUUCUCUGGGCCGUAACUGACGCUGAGGAGCGAAAGCGUGGGGAGCGAACAGGAUUAGAUACCCUGGUAGUCCACGCCGUAAACGUUGGGCGCUAGAUGUGGGGACCUUUCCACGGUU